UGAAAGCUGUUACCUCUCUGUAAGCACAUCAGCUGGCUUACUAAACAUAGGCACUGAGUGGAGAUUUAUCUGAUACCAACCAUCAGACACAAAAAAUAUUUCCUGCUAUAAAAUUCCUGAUCUAUCUUCACUGCCAGGUUAGUAGAGAGGCUGAAACAGGAAACUGAUGGAGUCCAUGAAGAUGUAAUGAAAGUGACGAACAGCAGUAGAAGAAGGAGAAAUUCUAUCCCUGGAAAGAAUGGAGGAGUUUUUACAUCCAGAUGGCUUACAAUUCCAGAGCUGAACCCAAAGAGAUAUAAAGAAGAAAAUGAAGAUUGAUCUUUUGUCAAACUGUAAGCUGUAUAUCCCGGCUUGCAGACAUUUCAGCAGUCCAGAUCUCAGACUGGCACCUUGUGCCACCUCCACACAAAGCUAAGUCAUUUCAGAGGUUGGUCCUGGCCAGGAGGAAAAGGAGAAGCAAGAGAGAAAAUGCCAAAAACAGUGUACUCUGGUUCUACCUCCCUCAGCUGGGUGAUCCUCGAGGCCUGUAUCUAGGAAUCAAUUAAUGUUGCCUUAAAUAGACUAUCAGGAUAUAUGCUCCUUUUCAGUUUCCCUUCUCCCUCCUCCACCAGUACUGCCAAUAGUGGAUAGUGAGUUUGAUAUGUGGAAAAGAGAUCCUGACUAGAUUAACCUGGUUUUUGGGCUAACUUUCUCUGAGAUGAGAACGGUUAUCAUAAGGUAAUUAAUCCACCUCCACAAAGGCUCCUUACUCAUGUCAAAAUGGAAGUAUUUUUGACAGAGUUCAGUGAGAAAGUUAAGGUUUUUCCUUUUGGCAGUAUAGCUGGAAACAAAGCAAAACAAAACAAGCAAAAGAUGUUAAAAUAUUAAGAGGCAUUCAGAAAAGACAAAGGAGAGUUUAAUUAAAACAGGAAGAUUUUGAGCUACAUUUUCAAAGUGGCCUGAAGCAUGCAUGGAGUCUGCUAACUUUUUUUUUUUACUCAUGGACACAACAAAAAACCUGAGAGAAUCACAUGCACAACUUUGAUUUUCACUUGAAUAGUGCAAGGUAGUGUACAAAGGCCUGGGCACAAAAGGAAAAGUCUAUCAUUUAGGUGUACAAAGGAUGGUCGCGAACUACUGUGUUUGAUCAUGGGGGCACAGGGACAGGA